rnacentral:piRNA from 1 species
UAGGAACUACCGCUGCUUCAGUAUCCGAU